CCUACGGGUGGCAGCAGUGAGGAAUAUUGGUCAAUGGGCGAGAGCCUGAACCAGCCAAGUCGCGUGAGGGAAGACGGUCCUAUGGAUUGUAAACCUCUUUUGCCGGGGCGCAAAAAGCGGUACGCGUACCGCAUCGAGAGUACCCGGAGAAAAAGCAUCGGCUAACUCCGUGCCAGCAGCCGCGGUAAUACGGAGGAUGCGAGCGUUAUCCGGAUUUAUUGGGUUUAAAGGGUGCGCAGGCGGCGAGUUAAGUCAGCGGUAAAAUUUCGGGGCUCAACCCCGACAAGCCGUUGAAACUGGGUGGCUAGAGUGGGCGAGAAGUAUGCGGAAGGCGUGGUGUAGCGGUGAAAUGCAGAGAUAUCACGCAGAACUCCGAUUGCGAAGGCAGCAUACCGGCGCCCAACUGACGCUCAGGCACGAAAGCGUGGGUAUCGAACAGGAUUAGAUACCCCUGUAGUC
rnacentral:rRNA from 1 species